GGCCUUUUGAAUUUAAUUUAAGGUCUAGCCUGCCCAAUGAGAAGUUAAAUGGCCGCGGUAUUUUGACCGUGCAAAGGUAGCAUAAUCAUUAGUUUUUUAAUUGAAAGCUGGAAUGAAAGGUUGGAUGAAAAAAUAGCUGUCUCUAUUUAAGUUUAAUUGAAUUUUAUUUUUAAGUAAAAAAGCUUAAAUUAUAAUAGAAGACGAGAAGACCCUAUAGAGUUUUAUUUAUUUUUAUAAUAUGAUUUUUAGAAUUAAUUAUUUUUAUUAAGAAUAUAAAUUUGAUUGGGGUGAUUGAAAAAUUUAAUAAACUUUUUUUUGUUGAGUUCAUUAAUUUAUGAGUAGUUGAUCCUUUUUUUAAGAUUAAAAGAUAAAAUUACCUUAGGGAUAACAGCGUAAUUUUUUUGAAGAGUUCAAAUCGAUAAGAAAGAUUGCGACCUCGAUGUUGGAUUAAAAUAUAAUUUUGGUGUAGAAGCUAAGAAUUUAGGUCUGUUCGACCUUUAAAAUUUUACAUGAUCUGAGUUUAAACCGGUGUGAG
rnacentral:rRNA from 1 species